AAAAAAUCUACUAUUGGGCUUGACCAAAAUUAUGGGCCUAAUAAAAGAAAGCUGUUAAUCCAUUAUCAAUAUUUUAUUGGUUAGAGACGAAUUUUGAAACCCAUCAUCAUCAUCAUCGUGAUUCAUCAAGUUUUACGAAGAGAAGCUUCGAAGAGGACCAUACCGUACCAUGAUGAUCCACGGCGGCUCAUCUCUCUCUCUCUCAAACCCUAUCAAAGAAUGCUUAUGGUUACAGACUACGACACCCUAUAACGCUGCUCAAACUGUCAACCUCGUUGCCAAGCUUGAUGGCCAUAGUGGUCUGUGUUUGAGAUCGAUGUGAGCAGUGGGUGUUGUUCCUCCUCUCUGUCCAAGAAAGAAUGAGGACCAUGCACACAAGUGAGUACCUCCUAUUGCUACUUGAUAAUAUAGCUGCAUUGGCUGCUUUGAUAUUGCUUCUCUUGGAUCCAUUCUCCAAAGUGGUCCAUCAAUUGUUACCCAGCUUACAUGAAUGAAAGAGAUGUUUAAUCCCCAUUUAUCCCUCUUUCUGCUCCUCAUCUACCCCGGCCCCCCAGUUAAGUACAUCUCUCUCUCUCUCUCUCUCACACACACACACACACAUCAGUGUGAAAAUUCUAUUUAUUCCAGUGUGUUACAUAAUUGUUUUCCUUAAUUGUGAUACUAUGUGGGAGGUUGCAUGAUAAAAGUAGCAAAAUGGGCAUGGGGCUUUUUCUGGCAAUUUUGGUAUAUAUAUUUCAUUUCAUUACAUUCUUUAAAUAGGAAUUCAGGUGGCUUUACCCUUUUAAUGUUUCUGGAUACAUCUUACAUGGGAUUUUCCUGUUAAAGUAAAAGACUCUAAAAAUAGCUUAGCUACGUUGUUUGGACAACACUUUUAGCCUUCCAGCUUGUGUACCAUUUCUUUAUCUUACUACUGUUA